rnacentral:lncRNA from 1 species
UCUUAAUAUAGUUGAGACCCUAAUCUCUCAAUGAAGCCUUGUGGAUAGCACAACAAACCUCAAUGAGUUCAAAGACAGAAAAACCUAUCCAAUUGUAUCUCAUGCAACUCUCAACAUAACCUGCCUCUAAAAAUACUCAUAGCCUUAUGGAUAUCACAACAAACUAUAGUAUUUUUAGUUAAGUCAGACCCUUCAUUUUCAUACAGCCAUAUCUGAAAAAUAUUGUCAUUGUGGAUAUCACAACAAAGCAAUAUAUCCAAAAUAUACC